AAUCAACGCUGGCGGCGUGCCUAACACAUGCAAGUCGAACGAGAAAGUCCCCGCAAGGGGAUGAGUACAGUGGCGACCGGGUGAGUAACACGUGACUAACCUACCCUGAAGCGGGGAAUAACCUCGGGAACCGGGGCCAAUACCGCAUACCUUCCAGAGGGGAAGCUCCUGUGGAGGAAACGAGCAAUCGGCUUUAGGAGGGGUCGCGCCCGAUUACGGUAGUUGGCGGGGUAAUGGCCCACCAAGCCUUUGAUCGGAGCCGGCCUGAGAGGGCGCACGGCCACACUGGAACUGAAACACGGUCCAGACUCCUACGGGAGGGCAGCAGUGGGGAAUUUUGUCGCAAUGGGGGAAACCCGUGACGCAGCAACGCCGCGUGGAGGAUGAAGUCCCUUGGGACGUAAACUCCUUUCGACCGGACGAUAAUGACGGUACCGGUGGAAGAAGCCCCGG
rnacentral:rRNA from 1 species